UACGUAGGGGGCGAGCGUUGUCCGGAAUUACUGGGCGUAAAGGGCUCGUAGGCGGCCAACUAAGUCAGACGUGAAAUCCCUCAGCUUAACUGGGGAACUGCGUCUGAUACUGGAUGGCUUGGAUUCGGGAGAGGAAUGCGGAAUUCCAGGUGUAGCGGUGAAAUGCGUAGAUAUCUGGAGGAACACCGGUGGCGAAGGCGGCAUUCUGGACCGAUAUUGACGCUGAGGAGCGAAAGCCAGGGGAGCAAACGGG
rnacentral:rRNA from 1 species